UACGGAGGAUGCGAGCGUUAUCCGGAUUUAUUGGGUUUAAAGGGUGCGUAGGCGGUCCGUUAAGUCAGCGGUAAAAUUGCGGGGCUCAACCCCGUCGAGCCGUUGAAACUGGCAGACUUGAGUACAGUAGAGGUGGGCGGAAUUCGUGGUGUAGCGGUGAAAUGCUUAGAUAUCGCGCAGAACUCCGAUUGCGAAGGCAGCAUGCCGGCUCCACACUGACGCUGAGGCACGAAAGCGUGGGUAUCGAACAGG
rnacentral:rRNA from 1 species